rnacentral:rRNA from 1 species
GAUGAACGCUGGCGGCGUGCCUAAUACAUGCAAGUCGAACGCAUAGCGAAAGGUGCUUGCCCCUUUCAAGUGAGUGGCGAACGGGUGAGUAACACGUGGACAACCUGCCUCAAGGCUGGGAAUAACAUUUGGAAACAGAUGCUAAUACCGAAUAAAACUUAGUGUCGCAUGACACAAAGUUAAAAGGCGCUUCGGCGUCACCUAGAGAUGGAUCCGCGGUGCAUUAGUUAGUUGGUGGGGUAAAGGCCUACCAAGACAAUGAUGCAUAGCCGAGUUGAGAGACUGAUCGGCCACAUUGGGACUGAGACACGGCCCAAACUCCUACGGGAGGCUGCAGUAGGGAAUCUUCCACAAUGGGCGAAAGCCUGAUGGAGCAACGCCGCGUGUGUGAUGAAGGCUUUCGGGUCGUAAAGCACUGUUGUAUGGGAAGAACAGCUAGAAUAGGAAAUGAUUUUAGUUUGACGGUACCAUACCAGAAAGGGACGGCUAAAUACGUG